rnacentral:rRNA from 1 species
CCCUUAGAUGUUCUGGGCUGCACGCGCGCUACACUGACGCACGCAACAGGUGCCUGCUCCGAGAGGACUGGGUAAUCAUUUGAGUGUGCGUCGUGAUGGGGAUAGAAUAUUGUAAUUAUUACUCUUCAACGAGGAAUUCCUAGUAAGCGCCAGUCAGCAGCUUGCGCUGAUUACGUCCCUGCCCUUUGUACACACCGCCCGUCGCUCCUACCGAUGGGUGAUCCGGUGAAUGAUUCGGACUUCAGCGGCUCCCCUGGGGUGCGCCGGAGAAAGUUUUGUGAACCUUAUCACUUGGAGGAAGGAGAAGCCGUAACA